rnacentral:rRNA from 1 species
UGGGCGCGCAGCUGAUCAGCCAUGCCGCGUGAGUGAGAAGGCCUUCGGGUUGUAAAGUGCUUUUGUAGGAAGGAAAAGGCUGGGGCUAAUACCGGGAGGCCCUGACGGUUCCGUGAGAAUAAGCACCGGCUAACUACGUGCCAGCAGCCGCGGUAAUAA